UACGAAGGGGGCUAGCGUUGCUCGGAAUCACUGGGCGUAAAGCGCACGUAGGCGGAUUCUUAAGUCAGGGGUGAAAUCCCAGGGCUCAACCCUGGAACUGCCUUUGAUACUGUCGAUCUGGAGUAUGGAAGAGGUGAGUGGAAUUCCGAGUGUAGAGGUGAAAUUCGUAGAUAUUCGGAGGAACACCAGUGGCGAAGGCGGCUCACUGGUCCAUUACUGACGCUGAGGUGCGAAAGCGUGGGGAGCAAACAGG
rnacentral:rRNA from 1 species